rnacentral:rRNA from 1 species
UACGGAGGGUGCAAGCGUUAAUCGGAAUUACUGGGCGUAAAGCGUGCGUAGGUGGUUCGUUAAGUCCGUUGUGAAAGCCCCGGGCUCAACCUGGGAACCGCGCUUGAGACUGGCACGCUCGAGUUCGGGAGAGGAUGGUGGAAUUCCCAGUGUAGAGGUGAAAUUCGUAGAUAUUGGGAAGAACACCGAUGGCGAAGGCAGCCAUCUGGACCGACACUGACGCUGAGGCGCGAAAGCGUGGGGAGCAAACAGG